rnacentral:rRNA from 1 species
GACGAACGCUGGCGGCGUGCCUAAUACAUGCAAGUUGAGCGCUGAAGGUUGGUACUUGUACCAACUGGAUGAGCAGCGAACGGGUGAGUAACGCGUGGGGAAUCUGCCUUUGAGCGGGGGACAACAUUUGGAAACGAAUGCUAAUACCGCAUAAAAACUUUAAACACAAUUUUUAAGUUUGAAAGAUGCAAUUGCUUCACUCAAAGAUUAUCCCUCGUUGUAUUGGCUAGUUGGUGAGGUAAAGGCUCACCAAGGCGAUGAUACAUAGCCGACAUGAGAGGGGGAUCGGCAAAAAUGGGAAUGAGACAAGGCACAAAAUACUACGGGAGGCAGCAGGAGGGAAACAUCGGCAAUGGAAGAAAGGCUGAACGAGAAAAGCCGAGUGAGUGAAGAAGGGUGUCGGAUCGGAAAACUCUGUUGGUAGAGAAGAAAGUUGGUGAGAGUGGAAAGCUCAUAAAGUGACGGUAACUAAAAAGAAAGGGACGGCUAACUACGUG